rnacentral:rRNA from 1 species
UAACGCGAAGAACCUUACCAGGUCUUGACAUACUAUGCAAAUCUAAGAGAUUAGACGUUCCCUUCGGGCACAUGGAUACAGGUGGUGCAUGGUUGUCGUCAGCUCGUGUCGUGAGAUGUUGGGUUAAGUCCCGCAACGAGCGCAACCCUUAUUAUCAGUUGCCAGCAUUAAGUUGGGCACUCUGGUGAGACUGCCGGUGACAAACCGGAGGAAGGUGGGGAUGACGUCAAAUCAUCAUGCCCCUUAUGACCUGGACUACACACGUGCUACAAUGGAUGGUACAAAGAGUUGCGAACUCGCGAGAGUAAGCUAAUCUCUUAAAGCCAUUCUCAGUUCGGAUUGUAGGCUGCAACUCGCCUACAUGAAGUCGGAAUCGCUAGUAAUCGCGGAUCAGC